UGACCUCAAAUCGGGUGAGACUACCCGCUGAACUUAAGCAUAUCAAUAAGCG
rnacentral:rRNA from 3 species